GGCAGGAUGGCCGAGUGGUCUAAGGCGCUGCGUUCAGGUUGCAGUCUCCUCUGAAGGCGCGUGUUCGAAUCCCGCUCCUGUCA
rfam:Ciona savignyi cont_63592, whole genome shotgun sequence.